AGCCCGACUGCGGGGCCCAGGCUCUGCUCUGCAGGGGAGGGGGAGGACCCUUGGGCACAAUCUGGGGAGAGCCCCAGGCAGGACAGGGCCUGCUAGGGUCACGAUCAACCAAACAGAAUGUCAGCCACAGAGCUGCCCGUCCGUCUAGCCUUAGAACUUUGGUCUGGAUUUUUGGCCAGCUUGUCAGCCAGGUGACCUGCAUAUUUACAAGCAUUCCCCUCCUUGCCAGCAAUGAAGAUAACGUUGCCAGGCCCCGUACGCAGCAACGAAACCUGCUUUUUGUGUAAGGUGCAAGCUAAACCUGUCACAGGUAUCAUGCCCUGUAAGCUGCUGUACAAACGCCCUCGGCAGCUGGACCCACCCGCAGGCGAGUGGGCGAGGCUCAGAGCAGCCUCUGUUCCUGUCAGUCUUCCUGCCAAGUUCAGGACACGGGUCCCAUGGGACAGAUUUCCCCUCAGGGUUUCAGCACCCUAUUGGAAACUGAAGCAUUCGAUUCAGAAGUCCUUCUUCACUGAUCCCUAACUUUGAAAGGUAUAGUUAAAAAAACUACUUAUCCCCCCAAAGUCCCCCGUGUGGUGGAGACGUCAUUUUCGACUGCCAGUGGGGACCUGAGCACGUGGCUCAUGGUGAGAAGCAGCUAGAAGAAACCGAAUCAAACACAGGAGCAGACUUAGGGCAGCCCAGCACCAACCCCAGGGGCUGCUCUGGCCCCACAGGGACCCAGCAGCACUGGAUUGUGG
rnacentral:lncRNA from 1 species